rnacentral:lncRNA from 10 species
GGUGCCAUGAUCCGACCCUCAUGAGAUCACAGUGGUAACACCAAGGACAGAGGGGGAGAUGGGCACAGGCGCUGCGGCCCGACCCUCAUGAGAUCACAGCGGUAACACCAAGGACAGAGGGGGCGAUGGGCACAGGUGCCAUGAUCCGACCCUCAUGAGAUCACAGUGGUAACACCAAGGACAGAGGGGGAGAUGGGCACAGGCACUGCGGCCCGAUCCUCAUGAGAAGUGGCGCAGUGUUACGUGAAGGACGACUAUGUGUGGUGAGUUAAAAAUGAGAUAUGAUAGGAUGUGGCUCUGACAGGCUCCUCGUGGAGCAGAGAUAACCAGCUCUCACAAGUCUUCAUCCUCCUGCCGCCGGGACCUUGGGGGGUCAGAACAGAGCAGGAGCUGCGGGAGAUCAAGGUGCCCACUGGUUCCAGAUUUUGUCAUGCCGGAUUCCUUAGAAAAGGCAAGUUUCGGACGAAGGAAAAGGCCACACGUGGACACAAGGUUCUCUGUUUAUCAUGAACGACCGAGAAGACGGGAGCAAGAAUGGUUCUGUGGGUUUGGAAAUCGAUGGUUCUGUUUGUGAAGAAGUAGGAAAAUUGCCUGUUACCCUAAGAAGUCUACGGGCCGUGGUCAGAGCUUUAGGCUCCUGAUUCCCCACUCGGGUUGAGGUCACCGCUCACCUCUGCAGGUGCAGGCAGGAGAGAGGCAGUGAGUGGGUACA